rnacentral:ncRNA from 2 species
CAAACAAUCAAAUAUGAAACUCGUAUAAAAUUGGGAAUAUGGCCCAAAAGUCUCUACCAGGCUACCGUAAAUGGCUUGACUACGAGUGCACGGAUUACCGCU